UAGGGAAUCUUCCACAAUGGACGCAAGUCUGAUGGAGCAACGCCGCGUGAGUGAAGAAGGUUUUCGGACCGUAAAGCUCUGUUGUUGGUGAAGAAGGAUAGAGGUAGUAACUGGCCUUUAUUUGACGGUAAUCAACCAGAAAGUCACGGCUAACUACGUGCCAGCAGCCGCGGUAAUACGUAGGUGGCAAGCGUUGUCCGGAUUUAUUGGGCGUAAAGCGAGCGCAGGCGGAAGAAUAAGUCUGAUGUGAAAGCCCUCGGCUUAACCGAGGAAUUGCAUCGGAAACUGUUUUUCUUGAGUGCAGAAG
rnacentral:rRNA from 1 species